GGUUAAGCGACUAAGCGUACACGGUGGAUGCCCUGGCAGUCAGAGGCGAUGAAGGACGUGCUAAUCUGCGAUAAGCGUCGGUAAGGUGAUAUGAACCGUUAUAACCGGCGAUUUCCGAAUGGGGAAACCCAGUGUGAUUCGUCACACUAUCAUUAACUGAAUCCAUAGGUUAAUGAGGCGAACCGGGGGAACUGAAACAUCUAAGUACCCCGAGGAAAAGAAAUCAACCGAGAUUCCCCCAGUAGCGGCGAGCGAACGGGGAGCAGCCCAGAGCCUGAAUCAGUGUGUGUGUUAGUGGAAGCGUCUGGAAAGGCGUGCGAUACAGGGUGACAGCCCCGUACACAAAAAUGCACAUGCUGUGAGCUCGAUGAGUAGGGCGGGACACGUGGUAUCCUGUCUGAAUAUGGGGGGACCAUCCUCCAAGGCUAAAUACUCCUGACUGACCGAUAGUGAACCAGUACCGUGAGGGAAAGGCGAAAAGAACCCCGGCGAGGGGAGUGAAAAAGAACCUGAAACCGUGUACGUACAAGCAGUGGGAGCACGCUUAGGCGUGUGACUGCGUACCUUUUGUAUAAUGGGUCAGCGACUUAUAUUCUGUAGCAAGGUUAACCGAAUAGGGGAGCCGAAGGGAAACCGAGUCUUAACUGGGCGUUAAGUUGCAGGGUAUAGACCCGAAACCCGGUGAUCUAGCCAUGGGCAGGUUGAAGGUUGGGUAACACUAACUGGAGGACCGAACCGACUAAUGUUGAAAAAUUAGCGGAUGACUUGUGGCUGGGGGUGAAAGGCCAAUCAAACCGGGAGAUAGCUGGUUCUCCCCGAAAGCUAUUUAGGUAGCGCCUCGUGAAUUCAUCUCCGGGGGUAGAGCACUGUUUCGGCAAGGGGGUCAUCCCGACUUACCAACCCGAUGCAAACUGCGAAUACCGGAGAAUGUUAUCACGGGAGACACACGGCGGGUGCUAACGUCCGUCGUGAAGAGGGAAACAACCCAGACCGCCAGCUAAGGUCCCAAAGUCAUGGUUAAGUGGGAAACGAUGUGGGAAGGCCCAGACAGCCAGGAUGUUGGCUUAGAAGCAGCCAUCAUUUAAAGAAAGCGUAAUAGCUCACUGGUCGAGUCGGCCUGCGCGGAAGAUGUAACGGGGCUAAACCAUGCACCGAAGCUGCGGCAGCGACGCUUAUGCGUUGUUGGGUAGGGGAGCGUUCUGUAAGCCUGCGAAGGUGUGCUGUGAGGCAUGCUGGAGGUAUCAGAAGUGCGAAUGCUGACAUAAGUAACGAUAAAGCGGGUGAAAAGCCCGCUCGCCGGAAGACCAAGGGUUCCUGUCCAACGUUAAUCGGGGCAGGGUGAGUCGACCCCUAAGGCGAGGCCGAAAGGCGUAGUCGAUGGGAAACAGGUUAAUAUUCCUGUACUUGGUGUUACUGCGAAGGGGGGACGGAGAAGGCUAUGUUGGCCGGGCGACGGUUGUCCCGGUUUAAGCGUGUAGGCUGGUUUUCCAGGCAAAUCCGGAAAACUAAGGCUGAGGCGUGAUGACGAGGCACUACGGUGCUGAAGCAACAAAUGCCCUGCUUCCAGGAAAAGCCUCUAAGCAUCAGGUAACAUCAAAUCGUACCCCAAACCGACACAGGUGGUCAGGUAGAGAAUACCAAGGCGCUUGAGAGAACUCGGGUGAAGGAACUAGGCAAAAUGGUGCCGUAACUUCGGGAGAAGGCACGCUGAUAUGUAGGUGAAGUCCCUCGCGGAUGGAGCUGAAAUCAGUCGAAGAUACCAGCUGGCUGCAACUGUUUAUUAAAAACACAGCACUGUGCAAACACGAAAGUGGACGUAUACGGUGUGACGCCUGCCCGGUGCCGGAAGGUUAAUUGAUGGGGUCAGCGCAAGCGAAGCUCUUGAUCGAAGCCCCGGUAAACGGCGGCCGUAACUAUAACGGUCCUAAGGUAGCGAAAUUCCUUGUCGGGUAAGUUCCGACCUGCACGAAUGGCGUAAUGAUGGCCAGGCUGUCUCCACCCGAGACUCAGUGAAAUUGAACUCGCUGUGAAGAUGCAGUGUACCCGCGGCAAGACGGAAAGACCCCGUGAACCUUUACUAUAGCUUGACACUGAACAUUGAGCCUUGAUGUGUAGGAUAGGUGGGAGGCUUUGAAGUGUGGACGCCAGUCUGCAUGGAGCCGACCUUGAAAUACCACCCUUUAAUGUUUGAUGUUCUAACGUUGACCCGUAAUCCGGGUUGCGGACAGUGUCUGGUGGGUAGUUUGACUGGGGCGGUCUCCUCCUAAAGAGUAACGGAGGAGCACGAAGGUUGGCUAAUCCUGGUCGGACAUCAGGAGGUUAGUGCAAUGGCAUAAGCCAGCUUGACUGCGAGCGUGACGGCGCGAGCAGGUGCGAAAGCAGGUCAUAGUGAUCCGGUGGUUCUGAAUGGAAGGGCCAUCGCUCAACGGAUAAAAGGUACUCCGGGGAUAACAGGCUGAUACCGCCCAAGAGUUCAUAUCGACGGCGGUGUUUGGCACCUCGAUGUCGGCUCAUCACAUCCUGGGGCUGAAGUAGGUCCCAAGGGUAUGGCUGUUCGCCAUUUAAAGUGGUACGCGAGCUGGGUUUAGAACGUCGUGAGACAGUUCGGUCCCUAUCUGCCGUGGGCGCUGGAGAAUUGAGGGGGGCUGCUCCUAGUACGAGAGGACCGGAGUGGACGCAUCACUGGUGUUCGGGUUGUCAUGCCAAUGGCACUGCCCGGUAGCUAAAUGCGGAAGAGAUAAGUGCUGAAAGCAUCUAAGCACGAAACUUGCCCCGAGAUGAGUUCUCCCUGACUCCUUGAGAGUCCUGAAGGAACGUUGAAGACGACGACGUUGAUAGGCCGGGUGUGUAAGCGCAGCGAUGCGUUGAGCUAACCGGUACUAAUGAACCGUGAGGCUUAACCUU
rnacentral:rRNA from 1 species